rnacentral:rRNA from 1 species
GAUGAACGCUGGCGGCGUGCUUAACACAUGCAAGUCGAACGGAAAGGCCCAAGCUUGCUUGGGUACUCGAGUGGCGAACGGGUGAGUAACACGUGGGUGAUCUGCCCUGCACUUCGGGAUAAGCCUGGGAAACUGGGUCUAAUACCGGAUAGGACCACAUUUUGGAUGGUGUGGUGGAAAGUUUUUCGGUGUGGGAUGAGCUCGCGGCCUAUCAGCUUGUUGGUGGGGUAAUGGCCUACCAAGGCGUCGACGGGUAGCCGGCCUGAGAGGGUGUACGGCCACAUUGGGACUGAGAUACGGCCCAGACUCCUACGGGAGGCAGCAGUGGGGAAUAUUGCACAAUGGGCGUAAGCCUGAUGCAGCGACGCCGCGUGGGGGAUGACGGCCUUCGGGUUGUAAACUCCUUUCGCUAGGGACGAAGCGUUAUGUGACGGUACCUGGAGAAGAAGCACCGGCUAACUACGUG